rnacentral:rRNA from 1 species
CGGUUACCUUGUUACGACUUGACGAACGCUGGCGGCGUGCCUAAUACAUGCAAGUCGAGCGGGGUCCAACCAGUGGCAACACUGGGGAAGACCUAGCGGCGAACGGGUGAGUAACACGUGAGGAACCUGCCCCGAAGUCUGGAAUAACUCGAGGAAACUCGUGCUAAUACCGGAUGAUCCCAAGAGUUCGCAUGAUCUUUUGGGUAAAGUUUUUCGCUUCGGGAGGGUCUCGCGGCCUAUCAGCUAGCUGGUAAGGUAACGGCUUACCAAGGCAUCGACGGGUAGCUGGUCUGAGAGGACGAUCAGCCACACUGGGACUGAGACACGGCCCAGACUCCUACGGGAGGCAGCAGUAGGGAAUCUUGCGCAAUGGGCGAAAGCCUGACGCAGCAACGCCGCGUGGGGGAUGAAGGCCCUCGGGUUGUAAACCCCUUUCAGUAGGGACGAAAUUGACGGUACCUACAGAAGAAGCCCCGGCCAACUACGUGCCAGCAGCCGCGGUAACACGUAGGGGGCAAGCGUUGUCCGGAUUUAUUGGGCGUAAAGAGCUCGUAGGCGGCUCAGUAAGUCAGGUGUGAAAACUAAGGGCUCAACCCUGAGAUUGCACCUGAUACUGCUGUAGCUAGANGUNCCAGUAGGGGNANGCNGUGGAAUUCYKGGUGUNAGCGNGUGAAANUGCGCANGAUAUNCNAGGAGGAANCACCAGCGGCGAAGGCGGCGCUCUGGGCUGGNAACUGACGCUGAGGAGCGAAAGCGUGGGNUAGCAAACAGGAUUAGAUACCCUGGUAGUCCACGCCGUAAACGUUGGGCACUAGGUGUGGGNACCNUUAUCAACGGGUUCCGUNGCCGUAGMUAACGCAUUAAGUGCCCCNGCCNUGGGGAGUACGGNCCGCAAGGNCUAWAACUCAAAGGAAUUNGACGGGGGCCCGCACAAGCGGCGGNAGCAUGUUGCUUAANUUCNGAGGCAACGNCGAAGAACCNUUACCUARGCUUNGACAUGNUAGARAAAAGCCGUAGAGAUACGGUGUCCUUUUGGGCUCUACACAGGUGGUGCAUGGCUGUCGAAAGCUCGUGUCGUGAGAUGUUGGGUUAAGUCCCGCUACGAGCGCAACCCUUGUCCUAUGUUGCCAGCGGAUAAUGCCGGGGACUCGUAGGAGACUGCCGGGGUCAACUCGGAGGAAGGUGGGGACGACGUCAAGUCAUCAUGCCCCUUAUGUCUAGGGCUGCAAACAUGCUACAAUGGCUGGUACAACGGGCUGCGAAACCGCGAGGUCAAGCGAAUCCCACAAAGCCAGUCUCAGUUCGGAUUGGAGUCUGCAACUCGACUCCAUGAAGUUGGAGUCGCUAGUAAUCCCGGAUCAGCAUUGCCGGGGUGAAUACGUUCCCGGGCCUUGUACACACCGCCCGUCACACCACGAAAGUCGGCAACACCCGAAGCCAGUGGCCCAACCCGCAAGGGAGGGAGCUGUCGAAGGUGGGGUUGGUGAUUGGGGUGACUGAGCCAGGAUCAAACUCU